GGCUCGGUAGCUAAGUUGGUAAAGCACUUAUCUAGCGAAUAAGGGUCGUGAGUUCAAAUCUCACCUGAGCUG
rfam:Aedes albopictus isolate Foshan contig10324, whole genome shotgun sequence.